rnacentral:rRNA from 1 species
GGGCCCGCACAAGCGGAGGAACAUGUGGUUUAAUUCGAUGAUACGCGAGGAACCUUACCAAGGCUUAAAUGUAGAUUGACAGACUGUGAAAACAGUUUUUCUUCGGACAAUUUACAAGGUGCUGCAUGGUUGUCGUCAGCUCGUGCCGUGAGGUGUCGGGUUAAGUCCCAUAACGAGCGCAACCCCUAUUUUUAGUUACCAGCGAGUAAUGUCGGGAACUCUAGAAAAACUGCCUGUGUAAACAGAGAGGAAGGUGGGGAUGACGUCAAAUCAUCACGGCCCUUAUGUCUUGGGCUACACACGUGUUACAAUGGUUACUACAGUGGGCUGCCAUCUGGCAACAGAGAGCAAA